GACCUUCUAAUUUUUAUUUCUCUCAUCAGCUCUUAGCAGCCCGCAAAACAGCCUCUGAAGUUACACAGAGACUUCAGGGAGAGAAGCUCUGCGUGUUGCCCUCUAUGAAAUUAAGCCACAGUUGUUCAUCUGUUCAACAAAGUCUGCCUGCUAUGCAAUCUGUGGCUCUCUGGGGCCGGGGUGAUGAAGAAAACCUGCUGGCUGUGAAACAGAAGGGGAGUUGUUUUCUUUCAUGGCGCUACUUUUCAGUGUGAGCAAGCAUAUUUCUGGUUAAAAAGAAGGAGGAGAAAACUUCCUCUUGCAAUCCCUUAAAUCGAGGAGAAAUCUUUAAAAACUUAAAAUUUUCCUCCUACAACGUGGUAAUAUUUUUCCUAAAGUGGGGAUGCAGGUUGCCUCAGAAAGAAAAAAACAGUCAAGUUCUCUCCAGCCCCAUUUUCGAAUCCGAUCCCAGGCAUUCCUUUUGAGGGCAGUUGGGUGUUUGCCCAGGAAGUUCAGCCGCAGCCAAGAUUCACUCACACCUGGGAUAUAUAACCUCCUGGAGAAGGCGUGGGAAGAAGCCUGGCGUUUCUGGAAGACCUACUUUGUGCCGGCCACUGUGCUCGGCCCUUCACAUUAUCACAUUCAUAGCACAAGCACUGGGAAGUCGUCACGGCCGUUCUGCCCAUUUUACAGAAGGAAGCGAAACCUCGGGGUGGUUACGUACCUCACCCGAGGUCAUACUCUGUACACACUCAACAGGCAGGGGCCUGAAGCAGCCCUUUGGGUGGCCUAAGGUUCUCUGGAGGUGUCUGGCUGGUUCGCACUUGGGGUCUCAGGCACCUGCAGUUAGAUGUUGGCUGGGGCUGCAGGUACGUGGAGGCUCCACCGAGCUGGAUGUCCCCACACCCCUUGGUUGAACAAAUGAAAGCUGGAGCCGUCACUCAAAGUGUCACAGGGAGCCUCUCCGCCAGGGGCUGUCCCGAGAGCGAGCGCUCGGAGAGGCGGGGGCAGAAGCUGCAGGUCCCCUCUGGUGCCAGCCCAGCACUUCUACUGCUCACUCUUGGCCAAAGCGAACCACAGGCCCAGCCAAGGGAAGGAACAUGGGGAAUGGACUCCAUCUCUUCAGGGGAGGAGGCGUGAAAAGAAUAUGCAGCCAUCCUUAAUCUACCAUACCUGGAAAGUGGUGAAGCCAGGAUCCGAAUCCAGGUCACCUGGCUCCUUCCUUCAUAGUCACCUUCAGACCUCACUGUGCACCUGCUCAGCUACCGGAAAUGGCCGUUACUGAUUCUGGUGUUUGAAAAGGCAGUCAGGUGGCAAUAUCAACUCCACUUAGAUACUUCCUGUUAAGGAUGCCAGUGGCGUCUGCACCAAGCAGGGAGCUGCCGUCUUUUCUAACAGAAGAUUCCUCAGCUGUGCUGUCUGGUGCUAUGAUACCAAGGUGUGAUGGGUUUCACUGGGGUAUAAGAAAAGCCCAGUCAUCCUGGCGCACCGAGCUUCGGUCAAGACAGGUCAGUAAGGAGCAUCUUUGGAAAAUGGGGGCAUUGUCCCCAGAGGGACUGGAGGGGACUCUAUUCCUUUGGCUCCCCUGCAGUUUCUGUCCCUCCCUCGGACAUCUCAUUGACGCCUGCACCAUGCCCGGCAUUGGCUCCUCCCACAUUAAUAAGCACCACCCUUCCCUGGCCCCCUACCCCUCUCCUCUGCGAGGCUCCCAGAGCCCCCCUCUGGUGCAGAGCCUUCUGCUUCAAGUAUCCAUUGACUAAAGAAACCUUGCUGUUAAAUUUGAGAAAAAGAUUUCAAAGCUGAGGGGAGGAGGCAACUUAGAGAAUCUUCAUGCUGCAAAUUGGAGAGUUUAAAACCUAAUUACUGUCCGCACUCAGCCUCAAAAGGCCUCCGUCGAUAUUUAUUGAAUGAUUGAGCAAACUUUACAUUCACACUGUUGGUAAAUAAAAGGAUUUUCCUAAUAAGCAAAUCAUUAGAAGAGAUUGCAAGAAGGAGUUUAACUUAAUUAAGAGGAUACUUCCCAACCUUUUGUUUUAUCCAUUCCAAAUAAUAGGCUUCCUUAGAAUUUUCAAGUGUGCCUUAGGUAUUUGUUAAAAAAAGUCUAAGACUUGUCUCCAUUAGAUAAGAUUUCGUAUCAGUUAGUUUGUGUCGGCACUUAAAAGUAAUAACAGUGAAUGUCUUGUAAAUGGCCCUUCUCCUAACUUUCUACCAAUUCAAAAUGAUAAUAACUUCUUUCAUCCACCAAACACCCAGAAAGCAUCCUGGCAAAGUAGAUCUUGAGAAUACAGCUUAGUGUCUUCAUGGGUCCAGUAGAGGUAGUCAUGGCAACUGCAUCAGAAAGCAGCCAUUGAGACUUCAAUGAGAUCGUGACAGGAAAAUAUUUUGACGAAUUUACAAUUUUUUUUUUUUAAACUGUAUUUAUUUCCUAGCGUCUCUCACCCUCCUCCUGAUCUGGUCUGUAGUCUUUCCUUAUCAUCGCCUUGAAGUCAGCUAGCUUUUAUUGCCUCAGGGGAGGAGUGAUAAGGCAGAAAAGCCACAAAACUACCUAGGAGUGGUACAAAUGAGGCCUUUGGCACUGGAAAUUUAACCCUUGAGUGAUGGAAGCAUCAAUUUUGGGGCAUAAAUGUUAAACACGGAAAAACAGAGAAGUAGGCCUACAAAGAUUACCAAGGCUAUGGAAGGGAGGAGAGAAACCAAGGGGAGGCCAAACAUCAGCAGUAGUGUCCCUGAGAAAGAGGACUGCCCCGGGGAGGUGGGGCAGCGGAGCCUCCUGGCUCCUGGGCAGUAGACUUCGUCAGGCAGAAGGGCUGAGCGGAGAGGUGGGAGUGUUAGGAUCUCUCCAGGUGCCGGAAACUGUGGCUUGUUCUCGGUAAAGUGGGAGGUAGUUUUGAGGUAGCAGAGAAAACUAUGGCUUUGAGGUGUGGAGCCAAGGAGUAACCCAGGCAGGGGCCUGAUGGAAUGUCAAGUCUGGCAGUUCGGAUUGAUAAAGUUAAUUUGUACAUCGGGACCCACAAAAUGGAGGCUCACGUCACAAAUCUAAACCCAGGUCUGUGCUUAGGAAAAACAUCUGUCAAGGAAACCUAACAUGCACCAAUCACAGUCCUCCAACUCAGCUUCAGCUAGCUUACCUUACCCUAGGAAACAGGACCUGCCAACUUGAGAAGGAAACCCUCAUCAAUCGUGCCCUGUUUCCGCAUUGCCCCUUCUAACACCCUAUAAAGCUCACUCUCGCCCAAACACCCUUGGGAACAGUGCUCUGCUGCUAGUGAGGCAUGACUCCCCCCAUCCACGGAUUGUUUUUGCCUUGCAUAAAGGACAUUAAACUCCAAUUGUUCACUUGAAAGGAUGUAAUGGCAGAGGCCACUAUGAGUGGAUGAACACCAGGACAUCAAAUCCCAGCUACUUCCCAUCACCUGGAAACUCAGACAAAACCUGGCAUAGAGCAGGAGCCAAAAUCAUCUGGAAUUAAGUUUCUGCCACCCAGCAGAAUGGGCAUUAAAACUAGAAGUAAAAACCAUUUAUUCAAUUCUAUGUAUUUCAUCCAGACCAUGAGAUCUGCCCCAACCCUAAGAUAGUGAUUUAAGUGCCUCAUUAUAUAAUAUGUGCUCAAUAAAUGCUAGGUACUAUUAUUACCUUCAAGACAAGACAUUGAAGAAAGUCCUAUUACACACUGUAAGAAAGGCCUAUUACCAGAUGUGAGGGCAAUCUGGCUGAGACAUCUGUCAUCCCACUGAUCACCAGGGUUGAUUUGGCUGAUCUGGCUGGCUAGGUGAGUGUCCCCUUCUUCCCUCACUACUCAGUGUGUCCCUCCUGAAGCUAUACACUCAGCCGAAGAGGAUGACCUUCCCCCGUAGAGGAGGACUGUUCCUUGGGUCAAGGGUCUACGAGUAGCUGCGCUCCUGCUAGAAUAUCCAAACAAGUUCUCAAGGUCCAUUUGUAGAAGAACCUAGGAUAGUCAAGCUUCCAAGACUCCAGACACAUCCAAAUGAGGUGCUGCCUGUGGCAGUCUACUUUUCUUUGAAAAAGAAAGAAAGAGGGGCGCCUGGGUAGCUCAGUUAAGUGUCUGACUCUUGGUUUUGGCUUAGGUCAUCAUCUCAGGGUCAUGGGAUCCAGCCCCGAGUCGGGCUCUGAGCUCAGUGUGAUGUCUGCUUGAGAUUCUCUCUCCCUCUCCCUCUGCCCCCACCCCUGCUCUCUCUCUCUCAAAUAAAUAAAUAAAUCUUAAAAAGAAAAGAAGGAAGAAAGAAAGAUAGGCCUAUUACCUUCUCUUAGAGACCCAAAAGGGGGGGGUCAUGUUAUUCUUGCCAAGGGACACUCAAGUUAGUACUAUGAACAGUCAUGAUGGGAAGAUGGCUGUUGACAACCCAGAGAGCACAGCAAAGGAGAGCCUCCAUGACUUGUUUUUUAAAGACUGACUUGACUACUUAUGGUCUUCUAUGGAAACCACUAUAUAGUCAUCAAAAUCAACUUCCGUUUGGGAACACAGUGAGACUACAUUUCCCAGUUCUCCGGGGAAGGUAGGUGGGAUCAUUUGACCAAUUCUGGCCAAUGGAAUGGGGUAGAAGUGAGAGGCUACUUCCUGCUCCCUUAAAGCCUUUCAUGUGAUCCUCUACAACUGGAGCCAAAGUAUUCUGAGGACCCAGGAAACAGGCAGAGCCUUGGUUCCUGAGAAGCCCCUUGGAGGAGAGCCGUAAGAGUAGGAAACUUGGGUUGGAUUAUUCCUAAGUGAGAAGUAAACUUUCCUUGGUUUAAGCCAUUGAUGGCUGUUUGACAUAGAAGUCAACUCUAAGACACACUGUAUAUGUUAGAGUAAGGGUGUUGAGUUCCUUCCAAACGGGACUGUGACUCCCCACCUCGGAAACCCCACGUUCGAUGCUGUUACUGCAUCCGGCCUUUUUAGCGGCCUUCCCAGAGGUCCAAGACUGGGUGAGUACAGCAGCAGCUUGCUUGCCUUGUUCUUCGGGAUUUAGACACUUAAGAGAGUGAACAUGAAAUGGUUUCAGUGUAAGAACUUAAAAAUCCUAGAUUGAGAGAAUUUUAGUGAAUGGAAGGUGCAUGUGUAGUCAUCUGGUUCAACCAUUAAAAUCAGUGAGAAGGAAACCGAAGCCUUGGGGCAUAGUACUGAGUUAGGGCCAUAGGCUGGAUAGUACUAGAACCAAAGUCAGCUCCCCCUUCUUCAGAGCUCCCUCCAAAGUGCCCGUUGAUGCAUCUGGACAUAUAGCGUAGCAUCGCAUCCACGACUCAAGCUUUAGAGUUGGCCCAGACUGGGUUAAGGUCCUGGCUCCCCUUCUUACCAGGGAGAGUAUUUUACAUCUCUAACCAUCUCUAACCUUGUCUGUAAAAUGGAGAAAAUAAUGACAGUACUUUCCUCUUAGUGUCGUUAUAUCCGCUACACAAAUUAGUGCUCACAGAGGGCUUAGCACACAUCUGACCCUAAUAAAAUUUUGUUAGGUUCUUCCUUCAUUUAAAAGAAUACCGAACUUGUAUAAAAACAAUGCCGCAGCCUUGACAGAACAACAUCCUACACAGCUUUACGAUUACUUCUUUUGUGAACAGAACUCUGCAUUUUCUACUCAUACUUUUGAAGGAGUUCAAAAAUAUGCUGCUUUGGUAUAUUGAUUCUUUUGAGCUGAAGGCACUUGAAAAACAGCAGAUGCAGGGAGAGGCUCUCUCGGAACUGCCCUCCUCUGCCUAAAGACAGAGCCUGCAAAAGGAAUUCGAUUGUCCUAAAUCCCCAACCUGGGAGUUUCAUCCACCGGGGAAGACUGACUCCUAUCCCAGGAGAGGAGACUUCGAGUCCACACCAGCCCCAGACAAACGUUGUCACCCCCUCAUACCUCCCGUCUGCUCUUCUGAAGGCCCAUUCAUCUUUCCCCAAAGCAUUUACUCUCCCCUAAGCAACCUGCAUCUCCCUCUCCUUCUCUAUUCAGAUGGUAUAUAAGCUCUCAAGUCUCAUCUGUUUUUCAGGUGUUCGUUUUUUUUCCCGCUGUGAUGCCCUU